rnacentral:rRNA from 1 species
GAUGAACGCUGGCGGCGUGCCUAAUACAUGCAAGUCGAGCGAACAGACGAGGAGCUUGCUCCUCUGACGUUAGCGGCGGACGGGUGAGUAACACGUGGAUAACCUACCUAUAAGACUGGGAUAACUUCGGGAAACCGGAGCUAAUACCGGAUCAUAUAUUGAACCGCAUGGUUCAAUAGUGAAAGACGGUUUUGCUGUCACUUUUAGAUGGAUCCGCGCCGCAUUAGCUAGUUGGUAAGGUAACGGCUUACCAAGGCAACGAUGCGUAGCCGACCUGAGAGGGUGAUCGGCCACACUGGAACUGAGACACGGUCCAGACUCCUACGGGAGGCAGCAGUAGGGAAUCUUCCGCAAUGGGCGAAAGCCUGACGGAGCAACGCCGCGUGAGUGAUGAAGGUCUUCGGAUCGUAAAACUCUGUUAUUAGGGAAGAACAAAUGUGUAAGUAACUAUGCACGUCUUGACGGUACCUAAUCAGAAAGCCACGGCUAACUACGUG